CACACCUGCUCUGUGUCCCACAAUCAGCCACUGCCUAAAUAGGAGGCUCAGACAUCCAGUCCUCGGCGGAUUGUUGAAUCUCCACGUGAAGACCUCCGCCGUCUCAGCAGACAACCAGCCAGUAAGCUCUCGGUGCUGCCCGCAGCCUGGACACUUCCCCGCUCCCGGAUUUCCCUCCUACCCCGAACCUGGGAGAGCGCCUCUGUCCUGAACCUCCGUCUUCCCCGCUUACUCUCCUCUGAAUAAACUGUCUAAACUCUGA